rnacentral:rRNA from 1 species
GACGAAGGGGGCUAGCGUUGUUCGGAAUUACUGGGCGUAAAGCGCGUGUAGGCGGUUGUUCAAGUCGGGUGUGAAAGCCUUGAGCUCAACUCAAGAAAUGCACUCGAUACUGGAUGACUUGAGGACCGGAGAGGAUAGUGGAAUUCCCAGUGUAGUGGUGAAAUACGUAGAGAUUGAGAAGAACACCAGUGGCGAAGGCGGCUAUCUGGACGGUUUCUGACGCUAAGACGCGAAAGCGUGGGGAGCAAACAGG